AUAGUGAAAAGUCACCGUCAGACACUAUGUGUGGGGGAGCAGAGCACGGUAGGAACACAGAGUGACUGAUCUGUGUGGUGCAGCCAAGCCUAUGUUCACAGAGAAAACUGACAGAAAUGGAGCAGGCUAAGAAGGGGAGAGGAACACUCAGGAAAGAAGAAAAGUGGAAACAUAAUGGUGGCCAUUAAAAAAGAAAAGAAAAAAAGAAGAGAAGAGAAGCAGAAAGAAAAGAAAAAAGCUGGGUUUGGAGCAGUGGCUCUGGCCUUUAAUCCCAGGGCUUUGGGAGGCCAAGGUGGGAGGAUCAUUUGAGGCUAGGAGUUCAAGACAGCCUGGGCAACAUAGUGAGACUUCAUCGCUACACAUACAAAAAAAUUAGUCUGGCAUGGUGGCACACCUAUCAUCCCAGGAAUUCAAGGUUACAGUGAGCUAGGACCAUGCCACUGCACUCCAGCAAGACCCUGUGUCAAAAAACAAAAAAACAAAACUAAUACAUUAUGGGAAGAAAUUGUUAAGGCAUAAAGUAAUUAUACUUUUCACAUUAAUCAGUUUUCCCUUGUGUAUCUAGUUGCUCUCUCAUGGUUUGAUUUUAAAGAAAGAUAAAAUGUUGUAUACCUUUUAUCUGCUGGAUUCCCUUAAGCAUGAUCUCAUUUAAUUCUCAAAAAAUUCUAAAAGACAAGGAUCAAACUCUUGAUUUUAUGACUGAAGUUAAUUUGGGCUCAGAGAGGUCAAGUACAAAUACAAAUGACGGGACUAAGAAGGGUAAGAUAAUCUGAUUUCUCUGGCUCCAACUUAAUGCUUUUUAUUUACAAGGCUAACCUACCUCAAUAGCCUAAAUAAAUUUGUAAGUUAUACCAACUUUCAUAAGACUAGAGUUUCUGAGCUCUCAAUAAAUAUAAGAUUAGAUAAUUUGAUUAUUACUAAUCAAUCUGAAAGAUAAAUCUUAAUAUAAUGAGCUUUUAAGUUGCCAGUGGUAGUUAGAAAAGCAAAAAACAAAGUUCCCAGAAGAUAAAGUACAAUAGGUAUAUGCACACACUUUGUGUGUGUGUGUGUCUGUGUGUGGUAAGAACACUUAACAUCCACUCUGCAUUUCUCAGAAAUAUAUGGUCAUUAACUAUAGUCUUCAUGCUAUACAAUAGAUCUCUUGAACUUACUCCUAUCUAACUGUAAUUAAUAUAUUCUUUGACCAAUAUCUCACAGCCCCCCCUCCCCACUAGCUCCUACAGCAUCUAGUAACCACCAUUCUACUCUCUACUUCUAUGAGGUCAACUUUUUUAGAUUCCAUAUAUGAGUUAGAUCAUGUGGUAUUUGUCUUUCUGUGCCUGGCUUAUGUAACUUAAUGUUCUCCAGGUUCACCCAUGUUGUCAUAAAUGACAAGAUUUGGGGUUUUUUCAAUUAAGUGUAUAUUGUAUACAUAUUUAAAACAUCCAUCUAGUAAACAAAAAAUGACAAAAGAAAUUAUGCAUUAAUUUUGCCUUUAACCUUGGCAGCUUAUAUUUAUGCUAGCAGAACGCUAUGACACAGAUGCUUCUAUGAUUGUUCUUUGGAGUUACAGUGGACAUAAAAUUGAUAUGUGCUCACUUACAGACAAUUUUGGUGAUUCAGUUUGCCAAAUGCAUUUUUCUUUCCUUCCUUUUUUAAGGUUUUCUUUCUUUGAAAAGAAAACCUGUUCAUGUAGAAUUUCCAUUUCUAGCCCAACAGAAAUAGAAUUGGAAGUCAUGUCAAAAUUUUAUGGAGAAUGUUAUACAUCCUGACACUAUUUAUAAGGGUGAAAGAACAGAAGGAAUUGAACAACAAGGGGGAAAUCAUUGAAUAAAAUAUGGUACUUUCAUAUGUUACUUAUUAUAUGGCCAUUAAAAUUAAUUUCUCAAAUAAUUAUUAAUUAUAUAAAAAUUUUGAGUUCAAAAAGCAAGAUACAAUGUUGGAUAUACAGUAUAAUCUAAAAUACCUUCAGAAAUAUACACACACAUAGAGAAGAACUAUUAAAGGAAAAUUCACCAAAAUAUUAACAGAUGUUAUUUCUGGGUUGUGGUAUUACGGAUAAGAUUUUUAUGCUGAAUUGCCAAAGUUGUCUACAAGUGAGCACAUAUUAAUUUUAUAAUAAAAAGGCUACAAGCCUGAUUUUUAAAUGACAAGGUUUAGUCAUCUUUUAUUGAUGUAUUGGUAAUGAUGUUUCCUAUAAAAGAUAUAGUAUGGAUCCUUGAAUUCUUUUAUUUUUAAAAUUUAUUUGUCCAUAGACUUUACUUUUGGGUUUAAAUAUUGGGGACAAAUAAGCAUCAUAUUCCUUAAAUGCUGACUGGUCAACUAAAAUUAAACAAUUAGCGUAUUUUAUCAUGUACGUGGUUAUUAAAGAGUUCUAAUUCAGGAGAGGUAUAAAUAUAAGAUGGUUUUGUUUUCUUUAAUCAAACACACUUUGUUAAUAACAUCUUAGGCAGAUUCCAGAUUCCAUAGGAUGCAGUCACUUUUUUCUCAGCUUCCUCUCCCUCUAGUACAGGUUUGACCAGUAGCCAAAGACCCUAAAUUGUGAAGAGAGGUAUAGUCUGCUCACCCAGUUCCCUUUUUCCUUCUUCUUCAAAGUGUAGGUUCAAUGGGGACAGGAGCGAGGAAAGAGGGAUUGAGGCAAAUUGACCAGGUGGAAAGAUAGUUCUUUGUACAUUAGUUCUUGUUAUUGGACUGGUCAUGAAUACCCACUGUCCCAGGCAUCCAAAACACUGGCUCUCUCAUGUGGUGCCUGCGUGAGUUCUUUGGCAAUGGUGAAGGACUUCUCCACCACACAGUUCCCUAAACUGUGGGAGACCUGGCUCCAGUUCAACCCCUUUAAGUCCCUUUUACUCACAUACUCCCACCAUCUGUGGGAUACCCACAGUCUCCAGCUAUUGGAGUCUCCUUUCCUGGCAGGAAGUGAUCCUAAGUGGUAUUCCGAGUAGAUGGCUCAAAUCCAGCUCUAUUCCUUCCUUCUCACUGGACUCACAGAAACUCAUAUAUCCUGUCCUGUUGGAAGAUUGGUUGCAUUAAGAGUUCCAGUUCUUUUACCUUCCUUAUGUCCACACCCUUUAACAUGACCUUGCAGACUCCUUCAGUAAAGAUAUGAAGUUUACUUUCCUCUUCCUCAAGUCUAGGCUUGCCUUUGGAUUUCUUUGUCCCAAGAUGAUUUUAUUUUCUUUAAUUGAUGCUGUUUUGGGGUUGAGGGAUUUCUUCGGCCAAUGGGUCAUUAGCAAAUAAGACACAAGCAGGAACUUGGAAAGUGUUGAUGCAAUUGGGCUUGCAUGCUCUUGCUCACUGCCAUCACCAUGAGAAGGCCAUGUUUGUGUUGACCCACUGAUCCAAGAUCUGAAAUGCCAAAGCUAUACUAGUUGACAAAUUCCUAAGUCACUCAACAGCCAUCACCCCUCAGAAAAAUGAGUGAACCCAACCCAGAUCAGCUGAAACUCUCAGAUUUUUGAGUGCAAUAAAUGCCUGUUGUAGCCACCACAAUUUCAUUUUGUUUGUUAUGGGACAUUAUUGUGGUAAUAGAUGAUUUGUAUACUCCAUCUAAUUGUGGUUAUACAAGCUGGUCCAUUCAAUUUCUUCUUUCCAUCUAGCCUUCUUUCCCUGAUUCCCUUUUCCUAUGCUCAGAUAAACACAAGGGAAGAGCAUCACGUUGACUGCCUAAGCAAAUUGUCAUGAACUUUGAAGACUCUGAAAGUUACUUGCAAGCUAAGCAGUUAGCAAGCCAUAGCUCCAAGGAUGCUGGUAAGAAACACAAGACUCCUAGGUCAGAGAAAAACGGUUUAUUCACAGCAAGAGCAGUAGCCAGAGUAUCAUCAAUUUUGUGCUGGCUCCUCAAGCCCCAGUUCCCAAAAGGAGUCAUGAAGAGGUGCAGAUGACACCUACACAUGAAGUGAGCUGCAUUUCAAGAAACUUUGAGCUUAGGGAACCCAAAUCUUUUUUUUUUUUUUUUUGAGACAGAGUUUCACUCUUGUUGCCCAGGCAGGCUGGAGUGCAAUGGGGCAAUCUCAGCUCACCACAGCCUCCACCUCCAGGGUUCAAGCGAUUCUCCUGCCUCAGCCUCCCAAGUAGCUGGAAUUACAGGCACGCACCACCACGCCUGGCUAAUCUGUAUUUUUAGUAGAGGUGGGAUUUCUUCAUGUUGGUCAGGCUAGUCUCAAACUCCUAACCUCAGGUGAUCUGCCCACCUUGGCCUCCCAAAGUGCUGGGAUUACAGGUGUGAGCCACUGCACCCGGCCAGGAACCCAAAUCUUUUAAGACAGGCACUCGGGGAGCCUAACUUUUGCUUAGAGGCAGGUGUCUUUAUGAUACUAGAUAGCAAGCAUGCAUGCCCUUUGCUCUGGAGGGAUACACCAUCUCUAACUUUCAAGGCCGUGUGCUAGACAAACAUCCUUGAAAAGACCAGAAAAGGUGGUCCAUGCUUUGCUUGUAGGACAUGUGGGUGUGUGAAAUAAUGUGGGUAUGAGGAAUUUUCUCUUAACACAGAUGUCUUCCAGGAAACAGAAUGACAGUCCCUUUUUCUAGUCAAUUAUUCCCAAUGUUUAGAAGAGAUUCUCUGGUUUCCUCCCCUCUCCCUCCACUUCCACUAGGCUGACAACUCCCAGCUCUUUCUCAUUCUCUUGACUUUCAGGCUUCUUAUAGAGACUGAGAAAGGAUGAUGGGCACCAGUCAUUGCAGAACCAGAUCUGUGGUCUCUAAGCAAUCCCAGCCUUCAGUUAACAGGAAAAGUCCCUGUUCUGUUACAAAUGAACCAUAUUGCUCAAUAUGUGUGUGGACAACAGACUGACUUAAGAAAUAAUGCAAUCAGGCAGCAGAUACUUGACAAAAACUCAGAGAUGCCCAAAUUUCGAUGUACAGUAUAGAUGUGUACUAUUGGAACUUGGCAGCAAAUGCCAUAUGAAUAAGUCUUGCAGAAAUCUUAGGCAGAGUUCCUUUUAGGCUAUUCCACAUCUCACAUAAUAUACAGCCUAUGAGGCAAAAAACACUUAGACUCACCCAAUAAUAAAUACCCUUUUUGUGAAUGACAUCUCAAAGUUAACAGGCAAGCCACAGAUAUUUGCAAUAUUGCAACCAAUAAAGGAUUGAUAUUCAAAAUAUUUAAGGAUUCCUUAGUAUCCAUGAGAAAACAAUGGGCAACUGUGAUGGCCAUGGAAUUGCAUUACCCAGAUCUCCCUUCAAGAGAAACUGCUAAGGAAGAGCAGUUGGCAGAUAGCUGCAACACCUCUGGAUCCACUGUAGUGUUCAUAUCAAGGCCAGGUUCUCCAGGUCAGCUCCCAGAGAGCAACUGAACAUGGCAAGCAUCUAGGGUCUGACUAUUCCCUCCCAAUACCAGAUUACUCUGACAGGUGUUCUUUAUUCUGGGACUCCAUAUUGGUCCAGCUGAGACUUUCUCAGAGCUGCAUUGCAGUGAGAGACUUUUACCCUGACACUCUUCCUUCUCUCUUUUCACAAGUGUCAAACAUGCAUUAAGGCCUGGAGGUUUUCCCUAUCUACCCCAAUCACAUUUAUCCUUCACAGGCAUUCCCCCUAACCAACGUCUCUGUAGAUGUCUAUCUUGGUGCAUCUGCUUCCUAGAGGACUCAGACUGACACAGGAACCCCAUAAAAGACAGCAAAAGAUUUGAACAGGGCAGGGCGGGGUGGCUCACGCCUGUAAUCCCAGCUCUUUGGGAGGCUGAGGCUGGUGGAUAACUUGAGGUCGGAAUUUGGGACUAGCCUGACCAACACAGUGAAACCCC
rnacentral:lncRNA from 10 species